rnacentral:misc_RNA from 1 species
GUUGAUCUUCAAAUUGUGACCAUACUUGAAAAGAAUCAAAACCACAGAGGAAAGAUUCUCACAAAUCACAACUUUUCUUUUUCUUUUACCCACUUCAGAAGUUGCAGGUCUUAUUUGCCUUCUGUGGCCAACUGUUGACCUGUGAUUAAGAAAAAGAACAAUACUUGCAUGGAUCAGGAUCUAUAUAAAUUACUGAGUGCACAAGAGCCCAUAUAUAUAUAAAUUGAUCCCUUCUGCUUCAGAAGAUUCAUAACAGAAGACCAGAUUUCAAGAACCCAAAAAAAAAAUGGCAGGUUUGUACGACAAGCAGGCAGCCAUUUAUGCCGACGCCAGGCCAACCUUUCCAAGUCAAUGGUUUUCCAUGCUGGCUGCUCUCACCCCUCACCACUCUUUAGCUUGGGAUGCCGGCACCGGCAACGGUCAGGCAGCUAUCAGCGUGGCAGAGCACUAUGAUCAAGUGAUUGCAACUGAUAUAAGUGAAGAGCAAUUAAAGCAUGGUAUAAAUCACCCUCGGGUUCGAUACUUGCAUACUCCAUCAUCAAUGUCAGAUGAUGAGCUGGUGUCCUUAAUCGGUGGUGAAAAUUCAGUUGAUCUAGUGACAGUCUCUGUAGCUGUGCAUUGGUUCGACCUGGAAAGAUUUUACUCUCAGGUGAAGCGUCUGCUACGAAAGCCAGGAGGUGUGAUUGCAGUUUGGACAUACAAUAUCAUCCAAGUUAAUUCAGAAUUUGAUCCUUUAAUGUGGGGAUUCUACGAGAAAACACUUGCUUUCCAGAAACCAAAUGUAAAAUAUGCUUUUGAUUGUUACAGGACACUUCCAUUCCCUUUUGAAAGUGUAGGUGUGGGAUGCGAGGGGCAACCUGAGACAUUGGAGAUGACAAAGGAGAUGUCGUUUCAGGGACUUCUGGGAUUGAUGAGAUCAUGGUCAGCUGUAAAUACAGCUAAGGAACAAGGUAUGGAUUUGUUGUGUGAAAAUGUUAUAAGGGAGUUUGAGAAGGCUUGGGGUGGCCGUGAAUUGGUCAGAACUGUCAUCUUCAAGACUUACAUGCUUGCAGGGAAAGUUAAGGUCUAAUUAAGUUUUCACUUUCAGUCUGAAAGCUGUAGCUCUAAUUCUUCUGAUUCAUCUGAUGGAUGGAAGCUAAAGUCUACUUGUUUCUUUUCCUUGAGCAAUAAUACAGAAUAAUUAAUGAUGUUUGGGUAAGCAGAGCAUGUAAGGAUGAUACUUGCCUUUGUUUUUGGUCUGAGCUUUUGAGGUGUAGCCAUACUUUCAAAGUGUAAUGGGCUUUGUCUUGAGUUAUGUACUGUUAUUUCCAUCAAUGAUAACUGCUCUUUUUUUAUUUAAA